UAAAUCUUGCUGCUGCUCACUCUUUGGGUCUGUGCCACCUUUAAGAGCUGUAACACUCUCUGCGAAGGUCUGUGGCUUCAUUCUUGAAGUCAGCGAGACCAAGAACCCAGUGGAAGGAACCAACUAUGGACACAUCUUGGUGACCCAGAUGGGACUAUCGCCAAGCGGAGACGAAGGACCCUGGUGUUUCUCCAGUCAUUGGAGCCAUAUCAUUUUGGUGCAUUGGCUGGAAAUCCAAGGUACAACACUCAUCGGAGCGGUGAGUAUAGGAGCGGACUUUCUACUUUCAUUUCCAAGGCUUCUCGUCCUCAGUUUUUAUUCUCUCAAAUAACUAUAUAAAAAAACAAAAACAAAGAAACAAACAAAAAACUGGUGUCAUUUGGCUGAUUAAUGAGCCACUAGGGCUGGCCACUGGUCUAAAACAAACAAACAAACAAACAAAAAACGGGUGUCCUUCGGCUAAUAAGCCACAAGAGCUAGCCACAGAUGGUCUAAAAGACUCAGGUGUGAGGCUUGCUAAGGAGGACUUAGUCAAUCCCCUUGUGUCCUCAGGGUGCUGGGAAUGUUGGCUCUGUCCAAAUCAGUCUCCUUUCAUGAGAAAUAUUCGCAAUUGCGUGAGGAUGGGAAAAGUACUGAAGCAACUGAGAAUCUCUGGCCAGGGCACACCCUGGUGUUAUUCAAAGGCUUCUGGACCUGACCCAGCCUCCGACAGCCCACUCUGGGUGUUGGUAGAGAAUCCCCAGCUAUCCUGUCACAUAACUUACCUUCUUUUUUUUAUCUGCAGUCUCUUACUCUCUUUCUGUGUGUGUCAAAUGUGUGGGAAUUUUUACAGUUCAGGGAAACAGGUCUGUUAGGAAAGAUUGACAAAAACGGCAGGCAGUAACUCAAUAAGCGUCUCUACUAUGUUCCUGGGGAGCACAUGGUAUUUCUAAGCCAACAGCGCUACCUAGUGGAUACAGAAAUCCUCUACAUGAGGCACAUUUUUUAAAGUAACACUGCAGCUUCUUUUUGCGCCACUAGAAAUCAGGCUCUAAGCCCCUUCUGUGAGUGGGGAAAUUCUGCUUUCAACUAUUAAGAAUAAAAUGUCCACCACAGCCAAAUUUUAGUCCUGAUACUGUCCCAUCAGCAGGAAAAUUGCCAUUAGGUCCCCACGUCCCUUUAAGACACCUAGCCUCUUUCCUAUUAGAAGCGUAUUUAAUUAGGGGAUUUUAAGUCCAGAGGGUAACCAGAGCCAUUUUUCUAAGGGUAAAUGCUUUAGCACGAGCCAUAAUAGCAGGAAGUCUAGCAUAUUUCCUCCAUUAAAGGAGCCUUGCCCAAAGACGACACAGUCUCUCUGGAGAUCCGUUUUCUGGCAAGCCAGGCAGAUCACAUAGGUUUAGGAAGUCAAAGGGGAAUCACACAAGGCAAUAAGAUAAGUUGCAUGGAUAAUGCAUGAUUAAUCCCAUCACUUAGUUUAUUCAGUUCCAUGGCUUGGAGGGCUAUGCCUACAACCAUGGGCAGCACAUUUAACAGGGUGCCUGGACCUAGGAACCAGGGAGGGAAAAGAGUCGGAAGGAUUGCCCACAACCAUAGGCAGCACAUUUAACAGGGUGCCUGGACCCAAGAUCCAGGGAGGGAAAACAGUCGGAAGGAUGCUCCACUGUGUUAUUCUCCACCCUGGGUCAUAUGGAAAGGAAGGAGACAAAAAAGAUGCUUUUAUUCUCACUUCUUUUUUUUAAUGGGUAACAAUAUCUUCAGCUUGCACCCCUUUGGAGUGUACUCUGAAGCACUGGAACUUUUUUAACCUCAGGACUUUGAAGAGAAAAGCGACUCAUUUUCUUUUGCACAAGGGCAUAACAUUUUUACUAAACCUUUGCAAGCAUUAUAAGACCAUUCCAGCUCUCUUAGCGAUAAUAUUGGGCAAGGCCACAGGAAAUUGUUCCCCAGAGCUAAAGCAGAUUUCAGAGGAGCAAUCUGAGACAACUAUUGAAUGCCCCAACCCUUCCAGCCCCCCUCAUUCAGAACCCCCUCCAAUCAUACCAUCAGCUCCUCCAGCUCCACCAUCUCCAGUAUUACCCACUUUCCCUGCUUCUCUCUUACCUCUGCAGGAAAUGCCUGAUGGAAAUGAUGCCAUGAGGGUUCAAGUUCCCUUCUCAUUACAGGACCUUAGGCAAAUAAAGAGAGAUAUAGGCAGAUUUUCUGACGACACUGAUAGGUAUAUGAAAGCUUUCCAAAAUUUAACUCGGGUGUUUUACCACACAUGGAAGGAUGUUAUACUGCUCCUAAACCAAACCUUAAUGGUAGCUGAAAAGCAGGCAGCUCUUCAAGCAGCAGAUAAUUUCAGAGAUGAGCAACAUAUCUCCUAUAAUACACCAAAAGGGAAGGAAAAACUUGGGGAAAGUGAAAAAAUAGCAGAAACACCAUUCCCAAUGGGAAGGGAAGCAGUUCCCCUUGACAAUCCUGAUUGGUACCCCAGUAGCUCUGCAGAUGAAUGGAAAAGAAAGCACUAUUUAAUAUGCAUUUUAGAGGGCCUAUGAAGAACUAAGACCAGACCUCUCAAUUAUUCUAAACUGUCUAUGAUAAAUCAAAAACCCAGAUGAGAAUCCUGUAGCCUUUAUGGAAAGGCUGAGAGAGGCACUAAUAAAACACACCUCCUUAACCCCUGAUUCAGUCAAGGGGCAGCUCAUCUUGAAGGAGAAGUUUAUUACACAGGUAGCUCCCGAUAUUAGAAGGAAACAACAGAAGCAAGCUAUAGGACCAGAUAGCACCUUAGAGAACCUCCUGAAGGUGGCCACUUCUGUCUUUUAUAAUACAGACUAGGAGGAGGCCCAAAAGAAAGAGAGAAAGCUCAAGAGAAGAACAGAAGCUCUAGUAGUGGCUUUGCAGGCUUGCAAAGUCCAGGGUACCCAAGGUGCAUCCACUAGCUCCUAUCAAUGUGGCAAGUCAGGGCAUUUUAAUAAGAAAUACCUGGGCAGCAAGACAAAACCACCUCAACCCUGUCCAGCCUGUGGUGGAGACCACUGAAGUUGUAACUGCCCCUGGAGAUGGAGGUCACUGGGUUCAGAACCAGUCUCACAGAUAGAUCAACAGGACUGAUGGGUUCUGGGGCUCAAACCUCCAGCUCCAGUGGCUCAAACUGCCAUUACAGCACAGGAGCCCUGCGUGAUUCUGGAAAUUGAAGAAAUGAAAGUAGACAUCCUUCUAAACACUGGAACCAGUCUCUCUCUCUUUUCUCCUCUCUAAUUCAGGCCUCUCCUCUUCCCAUAGCACGACUGUAAGGGACAUCUCGGGAAAAACUCUAACCCAGUAUUUUUCUCAGCCUUAGUUGCAGUUAAGAGGACCUAUUGUUCACACAUGCUUCCAAGCCAUUGUCACGAUAGUUUAUGACUCAGAAAAGCCUCCAAAUUAACCUCAGGAAAUAAUUUAACUGUUUACACUCCACAUAACAUUGCAUGAUCACUGUCCUCCAGAGUAAGCUCUUAGCUAACAAACAGCCAGUAAAGCAAGAAGUACAUAAGGCAGAAUAAGCAGUAGUUACUCUUCCCAGACACAAGCACUCAAUUAGUUGAACUAAUAGCUCUUACAAGAACACUUAAAUUAAGCAAGGGAAAGAUAGCUAACAUUUACACUGAUUCCAAGUAUGCUUUUUUAGCUCUCCACGUUCAUGCCGCCAUUUAAAAGGAAAGGCAUUUUCUUACCACGAGCGGAUCUGCUAUAAAUAUCACCAUAAAUUAGCAGGUUAUUAUUCUCAGUUUUUCUUCCAUGAGAAAUAGCAGGGAUGCAUUGUAGGGGACCUCAAAAGGAAACAAAUAAAGUAGCCAAAGGAAAUAGGUUAGCUGAUCAGGCAGCUAAGUCAGUGGCAAGGAAGCCUCAAGACAUUAACAUACUUUAAAUGCCUCUAAUCUAGGAAGGCUCCAUAAGAGAAAUUAAACAUUACUAUUUGCCUGCAGAAAUAGAAUAGGCCUCUUGUCGAAGGCAUACUUUCCAGCCCUCAGGAUGGCUACAGUCAGAGGAUAGCAAACUCCAUUUGCCAGCCCCCAGCCAAUGGAAAGUCCUUAAAAUCCUUCACCAAGCUUUUCACUUAGGAAAGGAUAAGACCUAUCAAUGUGCUCAGAAUUUGUUUUCAGGCAGGAAAGUUCUAAAUUGGCUAGACAUAUAACCUCUCUAGCUCACUUCCAACAAGAAUUAACACAACUAUCAGAAGCCCAACCCAGGAAAUAGAACCACGUUUAUUUAACCCAGAAAAUUGGGUGUUAGUGAAAAAUCUCAUCUCUCCUUCCCUAAGACAAGCUGGGAAGGGGCCUACACUGUUCUUCUUUCAACCCCCUUUGCAAUAAAAGUUACAGGAAUCAACUUCUGAAUACAUCACACUCAAGUCAAAGCCUGAAGCGCUGAGGGAGCAACACCUACCAGCCCAGAGGAACGUCCUGAAUAUCAAUGUGAAGAAAUAGGAGAUCUUAAGCUGAAAAUCAUAACAAAUACAUAAUGAGUGAGGGAUACUCAUUUUACUCAGUCCCAUUCCUACCUCACCAGAUAGUUUUCAUUAUUUCUACCCUUUCCUCUUAAAUUCACUGCUGAAUAUUAGAACUUCUAUUAAUGCAUAUUUGCAGGAUGAUUUUAAUUAUUCAUAGAAUCGCAUUUAUAAAUUUGUAGAUCCCCACAGGAAAAUGUUAUAUCUCAGCAAGUAAACUUUUAAACGGAAAUUAUUUUCUAUGCCACUAUUGUGGGAAUUGUUAUAGUCAUACUACUACUUCCAAUAGAACUAUACACUGCGGGACCCACAAUGUGAAAUUCUGGUUGUAAAAUUCUAAUUGCUAUAAUAUUUUGCCUGAUUAUCAUCCUUAUAACAGGGUUAAUAAUUGCAGGAAAGAUUAAGCCAAGGUUAUUUUGCUUAUAGCAGGACUAAUAGUUACAGAUAAGAACUAAGCAUGAAAGUUUUACUAUCAUUAAGUUUGAUAGGACUUUUUAUUGAAGAUUGGUAAUAUGGUGCACUCUAAAUUAUGGAAAGAGGUUAUAAAGGAAGGAAUUUUAUAUAUAAGAAAGGAUUUUCUAUGGUAAAUUUUUGUCUUAAGGGGAAAUGACUGGUUGUUUAAAGAAAGGAUGUUUAGAACAAGUCUUGAGUAUGUUGUAAGAGAUCCAUGAAAUUCAUGAAAGAAUUUAAUAAUUAAAGAAAAAAAUCAUCAAGAUUAACGUUAAGGUUAUUUUAGCCACCCAAUAAUGUAUUUCUCCCAAUCAUAUUGCAAGUUAUAAAAAUAGCCUAAAACUAAAGUUACUCUCUAAUAAGUCAAGGGGGAAAUGUAUGCUUUUCUCAAGGAAAAUGUUACUUUUAUAUUAACGUUUCUGGUAAUUACAGCAACAUCUAGUGGAGACAAACCAGCAUUACAAUCCACUGGUGUAACUAACAGUAUCAAACUCUACUCUCAGUUAUGGUCUAUAGGACCCCCAUUAAGAGUGGUCAUCUUAAUGCUAAUAUUCUAACCCUAUAUUUUAAACCUCCUUGUAAAAUGCAUAUACUUUUACCUAGAAGCAAUCAAACUCCAAAUGGUGCUGCAGACAGCCACAUAAGGACAUGUGAUUCUUCCGAGAACUUUUAGAUCAACCUCAGAAGGCCCAACUGCUGUUCCCCCCACAUGAACGCCCCUUUUCCAGCAGGAAUUAGCUAGAAAGAAUUAUUGUCCAAAGCCCCCUAACAGCAGGUAGGUUUACUUCUCUUGAGGGGGACUAAUACAGGAGUUAUUUAGAAAUAAUUUUUAGGCAACUAGAAAGGGUAAAGGUUCUCAGUGGAAAUAUCCUUUAAUAAAAAGCAACCCUUAAAACAUUUUUUUUCUAACAGAAAGUGGCUUGAAAAAUCAGACUAAGCAUUGAUAUGUAAAUGCCAGUGAUUAGAAACCAGGUCCAACCAACAUGGCAGUUCCCUCCCUCUUCUCCUUUUCACCAUGUGUGCCAGGUGUGAUGGCCACCUCCAGAUAACACCACGUGUGCAAGACAUCAUGGCGACCAGCAUUUGCAUAUUAAAAGACUAGGGUGAGAGGGCCAGGUUUUUCAUGGGCUACAUGAAUGACACAUCUGGUCACACCAAUCCCCUGGGCCCUAUGCAAAUUAGAAACCACCUCCUUUAGCCUCUGAAUAUAACCAACUACGUUUCCACCACAUGUGGGGUUUUUCUCCAUUCAGGGCCCCCCUCCCUCUCUAUGGAGGGAGCCUUUCUUCUUCUUUCUUGCCUAAUUAAACUUUCCACUUUUUAAAACCA